AGAAACACACAGCAGCCCCACCAGUGCCGCCCACACCCUGCACCUGCAGUCCCAAAGCCAGGAGCUGUGCUCUGCCUGUCCAGCUGCAGCCCCACGGCCCCCAGAAGCUCUGCGCACUGUGCCAGCUGCUCAGGCUUGAGUGGAAGAACUCCACCACCCUUUUCUCCUCGGUGCCCUUGGGCAAGUCACCUUAGCUGAACCUCACUGUGAGGACAGCAGGGUCUUGGUGACAGUCCAGAGCAGCCAAGCAUGCCAGCUGGAGACACCUGCAAUCCCACCCCUGGACCACCACCAUUGUCCUGCUGGCAACACUGGACAGCAGCCACUGGACUCUGGGCUGCCAAACUACUGAGCUCUUGACUUUCAUAGGUUUCCAGGGAAAAGUAACUUGGAACAGGCACCACUUUUGCUCCUCGUACCCUGUACAGUGAAGAUGAAAUUGCCACAUCUCACCGAGAGCUCGCAGCUCCUGUGUGCCAGCAGACAGGCCACAACUCUUGAUUUAUAAUCCAUGGGAACUAGAAUACAACUGAUCACAAUUUCCAUGUUGGUCCAGGAGAAGAUCUGAUUGUAACCUCCAGGCGCUUGAUGAUUCAGUGACUUCCACUACAGCCCUGUGUCACCAGGAUGAACUUUGUUGUCCUCCACAAGUCCAAGGAAUCCUCUUUAGUGCUUAUUACCCAAAAGAUGUAGAACAUUAAGGUAAUCAGAACACAAACAGCAACAGUACCUUUAAC